rnacentral:rRNA from 1 species
UACGUAGGGUGCAAGCGUUAAUCGGAAUUACCGGGCGUAAAGCGUGCGCAGGCGGUGAUGGAAGACAGAUGUGAAAUCCCCGGGCUCAACCUGGGAACUGCAUUUGUGACUGCAUCGCUGGAGUGCGGCAGAGGGGGAUGGAAUUCCGCGUGUAGCAGUGAAAUGCGUAGAUAUGCGGAGGAACACCGAUGGCGAAGGCAAUCCCCUGGGCCUGCACUGACGCUCAUGCACGAAAGCGUGGGGAGCAAACAGG